UAUACAGAGAUAACUAGCGUAAGAGGUAAAUCAAAAACUCUUUCUUUCUCUCUGCUAAGACCCUUUCUGCCACCAGCUAAAAUUCACUAGUUUUGAUUAAUCAACGUGCCUGAAUUACACAGCCACCACAUUUUCGAACCUCUAAACUUUCAAAUCUAUUUUUCAACUCUGUUUUUCCAACCACUGCAGCCUCGAACCAACCGAAACUCCCUGCUGCUACCUCUAGUUACCACGUCGCCAAUUGCCCAUCACACAGCAAAAAAUUAUACUAAAGGAGUUUCAGUCGGGGGAGAGAACCAGUAGGUCUAUUCUUUUUUCUUAUUUUCUAUUUUUCUUCUAUAUUUCUUUUAUUUUUAUUUUUGUCUCUGCUUCUGUUAUUGUGCUUGUUUUUAUGUUUUUAUGUUUUCUAAGAUUUUAUACUGCUCCUGCGGUGGUUCUGGUGGUCCCUACAUAGAUGGUGUUGUUUCAAUGUCCAUAUCGAGAUUGUGUCAGUGUUCGGAUUGGAACGGUAUGCCUAUAUUGAAGCUGUUGAGGACUUUAAUAGUGGUACAUCAAGGUUCUAAUAACCUAAGGGGAGGUUCUGAUGGCCUAGGUCAAGGGCUCAUUGAGAGGCUUUCUAGUGAACCG
rnacentral:lncRNA from 1 species